rnacentral:rRNA from 1 species
GAUGAACGCUGGCGGCGUGCUUAACACAUGCAAGUCGAACGAAGCGCCUUGAUUUGAUUCUUCGGAUGAAGAUCUUGGUGACUGAGUGGCGGACGGGUGAGCAACGCGUGGGUAACCUGCCUCAUACAGGGGGAUAACAGUUAGAAAUGACUGCUAAUACCGCAUAAGACCACAGCACCGCAUGGUGCAGGGGUAAAAACUCCGGUGGUAUGAGAUGGACCCGCGUCUGAUUAGGUGGUUGGUGGGGUAACGGCCUACCAAGCCGACGAUCAGUAGCCGACCUGAGAGGGUGACCGGCCACAUUGGGACUGAGACACGGCCCAAACUCCUACGGGAGGCAGCAGUGGGGAAUAUUGCACAAUGGGGGAAACCCUGAUGCAGCGACGCCGCGUGAGCGAUGAAGUAUUUCGGUAUGUAAAGCUCUAUCAGCAGGGAAGAAAAUGACGGU